GCUUGGGAGUGUAAAUUUGGAUUUAUAAACGGGUUUUUCAUUUAAAUUUUUUGGUUGUGAUUUUGGGAAUUUUGGCCUCAGAUUUAAUUUGGUUUUCUUUUUGGUUUCAGGAGAUCCGGUUUUUCGGGUUUCUGACAUUAAGCUGAAGUAACUAGAGUUGAGAAAUAACAAUUGGAGCUUAGAGUCUUUGCAUAUGAAAGUUGAAUAUGAGCCUUUGAAAGGCUUUGUAAACGUGUUCUCAAUUGUAGGGCAUUGGAUAGCAAUUUUGGGGUUUGGUGGUUCUACUUUGGGUUGAGAAAGGAAAAAAAAAAAAAAGAAGACCAUUUUGUUGGCAAUCAAUAUAUAAAGACAUAAUACAAAAGGGUUGAGAGAUCAACACAGAAAGCGUAAGAAAUAGAUGAACAAAGCAGAUUGAGCUGAAUAAUCUCGAUCAAACAACAAUCAUAAUUCAACGCCCGGGCUCUAUUACUAGUUUCAGACUACAUGCUAUCAUGGAACUCAUGAACAGAGACAAAUUCUUAUUUUAAACUUCCAAAUUUUACAAAAACAAGAUGAGUGGUGAUCCCCCUCAACAUGGCCAAUCUCCUGCGUCCUAGUGGUAGUCAUGGACUACCGUAUGAGAGUAAUUAUUAUAUACAAUCAGGUGAACAAUAUCAACAUGUGCCUUAUGGGGUUCUCCAUUAUGGUGAUUCUUCAUCACAUGUUGGUGGUUUUCUGCCGUCAAAUACACCACCUAGGCAUCUCUAUUCUUACUAUGGUGGUAGCCAAGACGGCGCUUCAUCAUCGUAUGGUGGUGGUCUUGAAUCACAUUUGCUUUAUGGGGUUCCCCAUUCUGGUGACUCUUCAUCACAUAGUAGUGGCCAUGUUGGUGGCUAUCCGCAAAACUCACAUAUACCGUCAAGUGCACCAUAUGGUGAUAGUCUUGCACAACAUCUGUUCUUGACGGUACAAGUGAGUUUUGAGGAUAGCCACCAAUAUGGCCACCACUAUGUGAUGAAGAGUCACCAAAAUGAGGAACCCCAUAUAGCAGAUGUGAUACAAGACCACCACCAUACGAUGAUGAAGCGCCGUCUUGGCUACCACCAUAGUAAGAAUAGGGAUGCCUAGGUGGUGCACUUGACGGCGGAUAACUAGCAUCAUGUGAUGAAGAAUCACCAUAAUGGGGAACCCCAUAAGGCACAUGUUGAUAUUGUUCACCUGACUGUAUAUAAUAAUUACUCUCAUACGGUAGUCCAUGACUACCACUAGGACGCGGAGAUUGGCCAUAUUGAGGGGAUCACCACUCAUCUUGUUUUUGUAAAAUUUGGAAGUUCAAAAUAAGAAUUUUCUCUUAAUGGCCGUGGAUUAGGAAGGCGAGGUUGUUGAAAUGGGUUCCAUUUGGUACCCUAUUUGCCAAUGUUUCUGCAGCUUGUGUCAUGGCUGCCCUGUCUUCUGUGAAGAAAGCGGUAAGUUCUUGUGAUAUGAUCUUCGUCCACAUCCACUCCAUGGCUGCAUCCUCACCGUUACUUUUUGUGUUUUAUGGUCUCGUGUUCGGAAAGCUUACGGUUCACAUAUAUUUGUCACAUUAUAAACUGCCAAGUUUGUUACUUUGGGCUCUUUUUCUCUCGUCAAGGUUUUAGAAGCUUCUUGGGGGAAUUCUUGAAGUGUACUCGUUUCUUUUACAAUAUUCUGCGUGUUACCUUUGUCCUGCGUUUUCUUGGUCCAUGCUCAUGGUUUUUUUAAUAGAAAAUCUAACGAAAUAUAUCCUUCAGAACUUUUUCUGUUUGCUUAGGUGAACACUAAGACUUGUGACAUUGUUGCAAAAGGCAUACAAUUUGGAUUUCUGGGUUACACGAGUACUGUUUCUACCUUCAUUGCUGAGUUCAAUGAGAUGAGAGAGAGCAAAUAUUCUCGGAGAGCAUACGCAUACGCCAUGGCUACGAUAUGCACCUCGUUUGGUUUGGGGUUCAUGAUAUAUUGUGUACCUGUUUGAACAAAGGGAUACAAGUGGUUGCAUGCUCAGGCCAUUGUUUUGAAGUCUAAUCUGUGGCUAUACCUUGAGAUUUUAUUCACCCUCACUGGCUUCAAUCUGACCGAAGGAUAGGGCACCCUUCUGCCUCUUGAGUGUGUCACAGAAUCUUGCGGGAGAUACUUACAUGAAAUAUUUUUCUUGUAUCCGUCUCUGCCCAUAGGCGUUGUGACAGAUACAUGGGGGUAUGCACCUGGUUUCAUGUUAGUUUCUGUCAUCUCGCAGCAGUAUCUCCAGAUCGGGCUGCAACCAAUGCUAGCUUGGACACCGCCAAGUUCUUAUUGUACAACAGGUUAGUUCUUUCUUCGUGGGGUGGUUGGGAACCGGUUACUUACGAAGCCUUACAACUGUCAACGGUUCGAACCAGAAAUGCUUGAACCAGAAAAUGCUUGAACUCAGUGUUGAAGGCCUUUGGGUGUUUGAUCUGCUCUGUUUUUUAAUAGGUAAGAUGUCAUACUCUAAAGAAUUGCUGCAGUAUACAUGUGGCUGGCCAUGGCAAGCAUAACGUUUGAAUUUCAUUUGAAUCUAGUUGGUUUCGGCUUUGAUGCCUAUUA